GCAGCCUGAUCCAGCCAUGCCGCGUGCAGGAUGACGGUCCUAUGGAUUGUAAACUGCUUUUAUACGAGAAGAAACACUGAUUCGUGUAUCACCUUGACGGUAUUGUAAGAAUAAGGAUCGGCUAACUCCGUGCCAGCAGCCGCGGUAAUACGGAGGAUCCAAGCGUUAUCCGGAAUCAUUGGGUUUAAAGGGUCCGUAGGCGGUUUGGUAAGUCAGUGGUGAAAGCCCAUCGCUCAACGGUGGAACGGCCAUUGAUACUGCCAGACUUGAAUUAUUAGGAAGUAACUAGAAUAUGUAGUGUAGCGGUGAAAUGCUUAGAGAUUACAUGGAAUACCAAUUGCGAAGGCAGGUUACUACUAAUGGAUUGACGCUGAUGGACGAAAGCGUGGGUAGCGAACAGGAUUAGAUACCCUGGUAGUCCACGCCGUAAACGAUGGAUACUAGCUGUUGGAAGCAAUUUCAGUGGCUAAGCGAAAGUGAUAAGUAUCCCACCUGGGGAGUACGUUCGCAAGAAUGAAACUCAAAGGAAUUGACGGGGGCCCGCACAAGCGGUGGAGCAUGUGGUUUAAUUCGAUGAUACGCGAGGAACCUUACCAAGGCUUAAAUGUAGAUUGACCGGUUUGGAAACAGAUCUUUC
rnacentral:rRNA from 1 species